CAGUAUUGAUGCAGGUGGUAUGAAGUAACUUGGGAUUUGCUUACCUUGGUAAGGAAAAGGCCCUUUUAAAGGACAAGUGAGUAUAUGGAGAGAUGUAAUGAAUUUUUAUAAGCCUUGUAUCCAUAAUUCAGCAAAAAAUACUCCGUUCCAAACUAGCCACCAUUUCUUACUGAUGUAGUGUCCCAAUGCUUCACAGGAACUCAGUCUGGGAAGCUAAUGCUAAAUGGUUCAUUUAAAAUUGUUCCAAAUAAGUUGAUUGGUACAAAAAGAGAACUUUCUUCCCGUGUAACUUUUCUGCCCAGCUUGCAGCCAGGAGUAGUGGUGCUGCAUGCUUUGGCUUCUCUCUGAGAGUGGAACUUGCCCAGAUUGUUCUUUCAUUUGUCUCCAUGUUGAAAGACUUCUGCAAAAAAUAACUUCCUGGGGUGCCUCUGAGAAAAAAUACUGAGCAAUGCUUGUGAGCUCAUCAGAGUUACAAUAUGUUGGCAUCAUGAUUUUUGAUGCACUUAUUUUUAUAAAUAUGCUAUAGAGGUUCAUUUAACAGACAUUGUGAAGUGGUACUGCCAUUCAGCUUGUGUGCAACUUCCCCAGUUGUCAGAGAUUUAUUCAAGAAUGUGAUGGACAAAAGAAAUUAAGAUUCCUGCCAGACUUCUUCACAUUUUCCUGAUAGCAUCAGAUCUGUUCACAAUUAAUGGCUGCUUGAAGCUAGCAAAGUUCUAGCUUUCCUGAUGCAGCCUGAGUGUGGAUGGGCUUUUUUAACCAUUUCAUGCAGUUUGAAUCAGUCUUCUUGCAAAUUUCUUCAAUAUUACAACUGCUUGUGUGAGUACGAAAUCCUGCAAAAACCUGUGAGUGUUUAAAAUGCACAUUUCACCUGGACACAGGGGAAUGGGAUGAAGCAUCAGGGGAGGCAAGGCAAGACCUGGCAUUGGCUAGACCAGGGAGUUUGAAAAGGAGAGGACAGUGAAGUGUCACCCUGCUGACAGGAAACAGCUCUCUUAAUGUGAAGCUGUUAAAAAUUGCAGCUUUCCAUUGGACCUCUACCUAAAACCACUGCACUCGGAGGGAGGUUUUCUUUCAAGUGCAAAUGAAUUUGAUUUACUGCACUGCCUGAAUGCCCACAAUGAGAUUAUGGCCAUGAAUUACAUAAAUUAGCCUUUGCAGGUUGUUCCUGGUGAUAAGAACCACACUUACCAUGGUGCAAUAUCAGAACAUGGACAGAAAUCUACCUCUGUACAGGGAGGGAGUCCAGGAGCCGUGGGAAGAGCUGUGUCUGCUGGAACUGUGAUAGAUGUGUGCUGGAGGAAGGUGGGGGUGUUGUGUGACAUUUCAAACCAGAUUACUUUCAGAAGCAACAUCCACCUCCUUCGGUCUCACUUUGUUCAUCUGUGAUUUCCUCCAAGAACUCCACCAGAAUUGUAAUAAAGUGGUCCUGUUCUGUUUGUAUAGGCCUGUUUCUCUGUAUAUAUGGUUUGUAGCUGGAUGCAUGUUUAAAUUAUAUCUCUGCUGCUCUUUGUACAGUGUGCUCAUUUUUUUGUGUGUGGAAUGGUACAAGCCCAGUUUGCUUCUCUGAGGAAAUCUUCAGUAAACUCCACAGGAGCUGCCUUGCUGUUGUGAAAGCAGAGCCCAGAGCUGUGUGUGCAGUGUGGUGGGUGCUCCCAGGGCUGGUGCCUGCCUCGCUGCCUGUGCUGCUGGGGGAGCCCAGCAAUGGGCAGGGCAGUGGGUGAAAUCAGGCUGCUCUGCUCCCACUGCAAGGGAAAUGGCUGGCUCAGUGUCCAACACAACCUGUUUCAGCUGGAGCCACCAUUUCUUCCAUCUGCUCAAGGGUUUAACCUGUUGAGGUAGUCACAGUGCAGAGCUGUUGGUGAUUUGUCUGCUGCAGAAUUCCUUUUAAAGACAAGGAAGGCAUCUUACUGAGCUUGUAGUGGUGUUAUGGUUCUGCAUAACAAACCUUUCCAUCACUUCCCUGAAUGUCUCCUAUGCAAAACCAUGGCAAGGGGCUGCACAGAAUGUAUUCUCAUUAGUCACCUGAGUAACUGAGAGUUGUCUUUUUGGGUUUGUUUUUUUUUUUUUUUUUUUUAAGACUUCUGAAGUAAAAUAUUUUCGUUUUUUAAAGGCCUUUUCUUUAAAGUGCCAGUUUUACAGGAUAGAACUUUCCUUUUCAUCUUUCCCCCUUCACCUGCUUUCACUGAAAUUUUAACAUAUAUCAGAAAACCUUGUAGCUUCAUAACAUGGUGAAAUACUUGCCUAAGGUUUGAUUCUGGCUUUUGAAUCUGCAGUUGGAAAGUCCAUUAAUGUUAACAAUAUGUGUUUGUAGCCACACUUCUGACAUUACAGCAUACUAAAUUCCCUGAUUGGAUUCCCUGAUUCCAUAAUAAUUUCUAUUGCUGCUGCCUCUUCAGCAACAGGAAAAGCUCCUGACGUGGCCACAGCCACAGUGCUUUACCUCCCCCUUGAAUUUUGUGCUGAGAUAACAGGAUUUUUAGAAAAUUACAGACUGGAGGGCUUGUGGGAAAGGAACUGGACACAGUGAAUUCAUAAAUUCUCUUGGGAUGUUGUGACUGGAGCAUGCCAGGUGCUGGAUUCCUGGGGCUGUGUACUUGCUCUGAAGCUCUCCAGCCUGCUGUGAGUCCCUCAGCCACAGCAGCUGUGUGUCCCCAGAGGAAUGAGGUUUCCAAAUGCAGGAUCAUACCUGGAUCAUGUUCAGUUACCCAGAUGUUGGUGCUUUGUUUUCCAGUGCAGCAUGGCCAUGAAUUGUGAAUAAAUCUCAGUACUCAAUUCUGCACUGGUUCUGUGUCGUUCCAUGAUGUAAAGGUUUAACCCUUUAAGUGCACCUGGUUCCACCCGGGGGCUUUGCCUGGGGCCACCAAUACACCAAGUGUAUCAGCACUUUAUGGGACUUUGGGUUACAGCUGCACCUCAGACUCUGCUAAACGAAGGAGGGGGUUGCCAGAUUGCUGUAGGAAAGGUAAUUUGCUCUCUAGAAUUGUAAGUUAAUACACUGAUUCCUUGCAAUGCAGACAAGCCCUGUGGCUUUAGAGCUCUUGUGCUGGGGUGUGUGAAGCUGGUUGUGCUGAGGUUACUGGACAGAGAAGCUUAAAACACUGCUGCACAGGAAAAGAUCUUUGUGUGACCUGACCCAACAGGGAUGAAAAUCAGCUCUGACACAGACAAGGGAUUUUUUUCAUUACUAGGUUGUGUGAAAAUGUAAUGAAUUGAGCAAACAUUUCCAUAUGUUCUCUUGAGCAGUUGGGACCUGGAUUUCUACUAAACAAUAACUCGAUUUGAAGGUGUUCUGUGGUUUUUUCAAGGGUUACCUGGCCAGAGGAGGAGCUGUUGAUCAGAGCAGGCUCGUUCCUGUUGCUGUGUGAACGAGUGACCCCUAGGACAGGUUUGGAGGCGGGGAGCCAAGGUGUAAGAUGUCCUUAGCUGCUCUGGAAAUCCAAGGUAGCUACUGAGCGUUUGUGUCAGCGAAGCAGAGGGAAUAUCUGUUUCAAUUGUGCACUUUAUCCCAAAACACUGUUUCUGCCCUUAUUUUCCAAGUGAGUAGCUGGGUGUAUCUG